rnacentral:rRNA from 1 species
AUUGAACGCUGGCGGCAUGCCUUACACAUGCAAGUCGAACGGCAGCACGGGAGCAAUCCUGGUGGCGAGUGGCGAACGGGUGAGUAAUAUAUCGGAACGUGCCCAGUCGUGGGGAUAACGUAGCGAAGCUACGCUAAUACCGCAUACGAUCUAUGGAUGAAAGCGGGGGAUCGCAAGACCUCGCGCGAUUGGAGCGGCCGAUAUCAGAUUAGGUAGUUGGUGAGGUAAAGGCUCACCAAGCCGACGAUCUGUAGCUGGUCUGAGAGGACGACCAGCCACACUGGGACUGAGACACGGCCCAGACUCCUACGGGAGGCAGCAGUGGGGAAUUUUGGACAAUGGGCGCAAGCCUGAUCCAGCAAUGCCGCGUGCAGGAUGAAGGCCUUCGGUUGUAAC